UUGGGAAUAUUGCACAAUUGGCGCAAGCCUGAUGCAGCCAUUCCGCGUGUAUGAAGAAGGCCUUCGGGUUGUAAAGUACUUUCAGCGGGGAGGAAGGGAGUAAAGUUAAUACCUUUGCUCAUUGACGUUACCCGCAGAAGAAGCACCGGCUAACUCCGUGCCAGCAGCCGCGGUAAUACGGAGGGUGCAAGCGUUAAUCGGAAUUACUGGGCGUAAAGCGCACGCAGGCGGUUUGUUAAGUCAGAUGUGAAAUCCCCGGGCUCAACCUGGGAACUGCAUCUGAUACUGGCAAGCGUGAGUCUCGUAGAGGGGGGUAGAAUUCCAGGUGUAGAGGUGAAAUGCGUAGAGAUCUGGAGGAAUACCGGUGGCGAAGGCGGCCCCCUGGACGAAGACUGACGCUCAGGUGCGAAAGCGUGGGGAGCAAACAGG
rnacentral:rRNA from 1 species